GGCGCCGUGGCUUAGUUGGUUAAAGCGCCUGUCUAGUAAACAGGAGAUCACGAGUUCGAAUCUCGGCGGUGCCU
rnacentral:tRNA from 1 species